rnacentral:lncRNA from 1 species
CUUUUCUAAGUUGAUCACCAGCAUCACCAUCUGAGCUGCCUGUGAUGUGCUUCUGGCAGAGAAGACCUAACUAGACGCUUUGGAAGUGGAAGUCAGCCUUUGGAGGGCCUCCAACAAACUGGGAAUGAUGUUCGCUGAGAGUCCUAGGAAGCUGUGCAGCCAGCUGGCCGAGGUCAGGCUUCAGGUAACCUAAAUGAUCCUUGCAGUUUGGGAGCUGAGAAGGUAGAGAGAUCAAAGGGGCGACGAUUCCUAAGUUUAUAUGUAUUUAUGCAUUUUUUUUUCUCAAAGAAUUAUUUGAUUUUUUUUCCUUGCAGAAACUCUGAAAGGAGGCAAACCAUGGGGAAAGAUUUUAUUUUCCAUUCAAAUGUUUUCAACUUGUUGCCAAACUGUUCUAACAAUAUUCUUUCCUGCAUCUUUCACCUAAGAUUGUCUUUUGAACGUGUCUCCAGGUUAUUGCAAAAUGACAUCAUUUUCAAAGUGAUACCUAAAUUCAAUUUCAACCCAUUCUCAGAAGCAAAGUAAUUAAAACGCUCCAACCUUAGAAACAGAGACACAGUAUUUCGCUGUUCAACAAGUACAUAGAAAUAUAUUCACUUAAAGAGGAGGCUCACACUUUUGUGCUAGAGCUUUGAAAAAGUCAGUUUGCUAAUGAACAAUUUGUAAUGAUUUGCAUAUGAAUGGAGCCAUUUACCUUUGAUAGUAUAUGCAUAAUUUUAAACAUCAUCAUUAUAUUCUAUGUGCUAAAUUAAUUUAACCAAUUCCAACUAUUUCUAUUUCCUGUAAUAAACUGUUCUACAACAAAAAUUUUAAUUUUUUUUUCUAAAAUUAAGAGCACUUCCUUUAAAAUGAGGUCAGAAAUUCAGUCAUUGAUUCCAAAACUAUGAACACGUCUCUAACCCUGAAAAUUUACAAUAAAACUUCUGUCUUAGUUGUGCUUGAUUGAAUUAGCAGUGUUUAUCUAUUUCGUGUACCUUUAUGGACAUCAGACCGUACUUAAAAUAUGCGAUCAAGGGAAUGGAGCCUCAGUGUUUACCUUUCUCUAACAAUAGCUCUGACUGCAGGGGUGAGGCUGUGUGCACAUUUUGUUCCAGACAGACACGCAUGAUGGAGAAGUCUAAGCUACUCAUCUCUUCACUCUGCACCCGUGACAUAAAGAAGGUCAGUUUAGCUGGGUGUCAUGGUGCACUCAGCUCAGGAGGCUGAGGCAAGAGGAUUACAAGUUCAAACUCAUCCUCAGCAACUUAGUGAGAACCUGUCUCAAAAAAAAAAUAAUAAUAAUAAUAGGGCUGAGGAUGUGGCUCAGUGGUUAAGUACCCCUGGGUUCAUCCCUAGCACCAGAGAGAGAGAGAGAGAGAAAUGCCCGUCUGUUUGGCUUUUGAUUAAAGUUAAGGGUUUUACUGAAAGAAAUCAGAAAUAUUUCUUUCAUGCUCAUAGUUAUGAAAUACAUGUUAAAAAGUGGUAGAAAGAAUUCCUCCACAUUUGAAAUAAAUUUGAAUUUCCAUGAGCACUGGACCUCUUCUUGCAGGAGUUUGAAGAUAAUUUGUUCACAUGCAUAUUUUCUUACAGAAUCAAAUUACUAAAGGGAGUUGUAACCUGGUUUUGAAUGUUCUUGGGUUUCCUCCUCAGAGCUGCUUUUUGUCACUGUAAGUAGAGGAGGAAGGCAGCUUUUAAAAGCCAAGUAUAGUUAUCCAGUGAAGGAGAGGGCCUGCAGCUCACAGAGGGAGGGACAUGUUUCCUCCCUCCCUCCUGCCUUUCCUUCCUUUUAUUUCUAUCAUGAGACAUCAAUUUAGUCUGAGGUAAAAUAUUUGAUGAGGAGGGAUUCACUAAGAUAAUUAAUACCAAAAUAUCACUGAUUAAUAGCCUUAGUUUAUUACCUGCAUAGGUGAAACCCAGAUUAGCUGCACUACAUGAGAAAGGUGACUUAUGGAAAUGAAAAUUUAAGACUAAUAUUGAUGUUGUUUUGAUGACCCCCCCAUCAAUCCCCUUGUUUCUCCCUAAAAUGUGUCCAUUUCAUUUCUUAGAAAGAAAAGUCCCAUGAUGACAGUUAAAUUAUUUUGUUUAUUUGUUUGGCAGAACAUCUUGAAUCUUUAUUCCAUUUAAGACUCUAAGAGAUGGGGCUUCACUUCUCCAGCUUCCAUGAUGCACUUUGAAAACUGCCAUUCUGUUGUUCUUGCGGCUGGUCCAAACUUAUGUGCCUAUCUGGAGACAUACCACACUGCUUCCUUGUCUUCCUGGGAACACUGCCUACAUUUCCCAGCCUCCUUUGCAUUAGUUGUGAUCAUGUGAUCAAUUCUGACCAAUAGUCUGUGCCUGGAAAGGACAUGGCCCACUUUCUGGUCUGGCACAGAAAGCUCUCUCAUGGUCUCACACAUUCUUUUCAGACUACCAUCUUCUUGUGGAUUUGGAUGUGCCAUAGCUUUGGGAGUCUCUUGUGGAAGAUGACGAAGCCACAAGAAGGAGGCACCUGUUUUCUGGAACCAGGAAGAAGACCAAUUGCUGAUGAACACCCCCCCCCCCAUUUUGGAUUUUACAUUUGUGAAUAUUUCGGUUGUGUUGGGACAUCAUACAUUUUGGGGAUUUGUUUAUAAUAGCAACUAAUGAUACCCUAAUUCAUGUUUUUAUUUUUUAAAUUAAUUAAUUAAUUUUUUUGUUAUAAUUCUUUUAUACAUGACAGCAGAAUGCAUUUCAAUUCAUAGCACACACAUGGAGCACAGGUUUUCAUUUCUCUGGUUGGACAAAAUAGAGUCUCACCAUUCAUGUCUUCAUACAUGUAUUUAGGGUAAUGAUGUCCAUCUUAUUCCACCAUCUUUCAUGUUCUUAUUACUUGCUAAUAAAAGUUAGAUUAAAACCCCAAUUUCAAUUAACUUAUAUGUAUGAUAUUUACAAUGAGUUGGCUUUCAGUAAACUGAAUUUUUCUUACAUCUUAGAAUCAAUUCAGGGAGAAGAUGAAGGUGCAGGCUAGCAGGAUCAAGGGAUUCCAAGCUUCUUUGGGAGCGAUUUCUCUCCCCAAUUUUUCCCAGCUAGAAAACAA